CUCAUCUCGUAUGCUGUUCAGAACUUCUGGUGAAAUCCCAUGAUUCACAACUACAAAGAAACCCCACUGGCUUGCAGCUUCAGCAAUCUUGUUCGUACACUUGUCUCUGUUUAUGUCUUCAUAAUCCAGAUGGCUAAGAUCGAUCACAGGCUCCUUGGAAUGGAGGUUCGAAAUCCAUGAGAGAUGUCGACACAAAUUUGAAAGGUAGAAGUAAUUUUCAAGAUCUGUACCAACAUAUAUAUGAAUAUGAAAAAUGAAGUAUCCGGAGUUAAUGCAGAUCGAAACUGUUGAAAGCCAGAUCAAUUCAAAUAAUGAUUCCUUAAGUUUGAGCUUAAUUGUUGGAAAUCCAUCUGACGAGCAAUAAAUUUAGCAACGAAUUGUAUAAGCUUUUUAACUGCAUAUCCCUUCACUGGGGCGAUUGUAUCGCCUCUACAACCUUUCUUUCCCUUUCUUUGUUUCUUGAAAACAAAGAAUCAGGAAUUACUUGUUUACACUCUACAGUGAUCUAUGAAAAACAAAUGUUAUGGAGUCAUUCCACCCAA